rnacentral:rRNA from 1 species
GAAAGUAAGAAAGGGCGUAUGGCGGAUGCCUAGGCUCAUGGAGGCGAUGAAGGACGUGAUAAGCUGCGACAAGCCGCGGGUAGGUGCAAAUGACCUUUGAUCCGCGGAUUUCCGAAUGGGACAACCCGGCAGUCUGAAGGACUGUCAUCCACGCAUAAUCGUGGAGGCGAACCGAGGGAACUGAAACAUCUUAGUACCUCGAGGAAGAGAAAAUAAACAAUGAUUCCCCCAGUAGUGGCGAGCGACCGGGGAAGAGCCCAAACCGGUCCUGUUACGGCAGGGCCGGGGUAGUAGGACCGCGUUACGGUACCUCAGGCGUGAACGGAACAAUCUGGAAAGUUUGACCAUAGACGGUGACAGUCCGGUACGUGAAGCGCGAGAGGGCCCAGCGGUAUCCUGAGUAAGGCGGGACACGAGGAAUCCUGCCCGAAUCAGCCGGGACCAUCCGGUAAGGCUAAAUACUCCCAUGAGACCGAUAGUGAACCAGUACCGUGAGGGAAAGGUGAAAAGCACUUCGACGAGAAGAGUGAAAGAGAUCCUGAAACCAUACGCCUACAAGCGGUCGGAGCUGCUUUUUUGCAGUGACGGCGUGCCUUUUGCAUAAUGAACCUACGAGUUGCCGUCGCCAGCGAGGUUAAGUCCCAUGAGGGACGAAGCCGUAGUGGAAGCGAGCCUGAAGAGGGCGUCAAGUUGGCGGAGGCAGACGCGAAACCAAGUGAUCUACACUUGUCCAGGUUGAAGUCCCGGUAACACGGGAUGGAGGACCGCACCAAUAAGCGUUGAAAAGCUUCUGGAUGAGGUGAGUGUAGGAGUGAAAGGCCAAUCAAACUUGGAGAUAGCUCGUACUCCCCGAAAGGCAUUUAGGUGCCGCGUGGGAAGGUCAGCGUGAGAGGUAGAGCGACCGAUAGGUCAAGAGGGCUUCACCGCCUAUCGAGACCUGACGAACUCCGAAUGCUCACGCUUUGUAUUCCUGCAGUAAGGGGGCGGGUGCUAAGGUCCGUCCCCGAGAGGAGAAGAAUCCGGACCGCCGUCUAAGGUCCCGAAGUUCUGCCUGAGUUAGUCUAACGAAGUGUGGUCCCUGAGACAGCCAGGAUGUUGGCUUGGAAGCAGCCAUUCAUUCAAAGAGUGCGUAACAGCUCACUGGUCGAGGGUCCGCGCAUGGAUAAUAAUCGGGUAUAAGGCAGACACCGAAGGCGCGGGAUAGCAAAUAUAAAAGUAUCGGUAGGGGAGCAUUCCAUCGGCGUUGAAUGCAGCGGGUGACUGCUGCUGGAGCUUAUGGAAAAGCAAAUGUAGGUAUAAGUAACGAUUAGGAGGGCGAGAACCCCUCCCGCCGCACGACUAAGGUUUCCCGGGCAAUGCCAGUCAUCCCGGGGUCAGUCGGGUCCUAAGGCUAAGCCGAACGGCGAGGUCGAUGGCAGACACGGUCAACAUUCCGUGACUACCUCCAUCAGCGAUGUCCAGACGGAGCAGUGACACCUCCGCGCCCUGACGGAAUAGGGCGUUGAAGGGCGUAGGCGAUGAGACCUGCAGGCAAAUCCGCAGGUUGAGCUGAAACCCGAAAGUACGGGGUCCCCUUCGGGGGAACCUGACAGCGAGGGUAACCAUACUCCCGAGAAAAUGGGCUAAGCAUAUGUUGGAGGUACCCGUACCGUAAACCGACACAGGUAGUCGGGUAGAACAUACUGAGGCGUUGAGAGAUUCAUGGCUAAGGAACUAGGCAAACUGACCCCGUAACUUCGGGAAAAGGGGUCCUCAUAUAAAAGUGAGGCGCAGAGAAUAGGUCCAGGCAACUGUUUAACAAAAACACAGGGCUGUGCUAACUCGAAAGAUGAAGUAUACAGUCUGACACCUGCCCGGUGCCGGAAGGUUAAGAGGAGAUGUCACCGCAAGGGAAGCAUUGAAUUGAAGCCCCGGUAAACGGCGGCCGUAACUAUAACGGUCCUAAGGUAGCGAAAUUCCUUGUCGGGUAAGUUCCGACCUGCACGAAUGGUGUAAUGAUCCGGACGCUGUCUCAACCAUGAGCUCAGUGAAAUUGUAGUAUCGGUGAAGAUGCCGAUUACCCGCGAUGGGACGAAAAGACCCCGUGAACCUUUACUACAGCUUAGCAUUGACCUUGGUCAUCCGAUGUGUAGGAUAGGCCGGAGGCUUCGAAGCGGGAGCGCCAGCUUUCGUGGAGCCAUCCUUGAAAUACGGCCCUUUGGCUGUCUGAGGUCUAACGCGUGAUACGCGGACACUGCUUGGUGGGUAGUUUGACUGGGGUGGUCGCCUCCAAAAGCGUAACGGAGGCUUCCAAAGGUGCCCUCGGGUCGAUUGGUAACCGACCUCAAAGAGUGCAAUGGCAUAAGGGCGCUUGACUGGGAGGCAGACAUGCCGAGCAGGCAGGAAACUGGGGCAUAGUGAUCCGGCGGAUGUGUAUGGAAACUCCGUCGCUCAAAGGAUAAAAGGUACUCCGGGGAUAACAGGCUGAUCCCCCCCAAGAGCUCAUAUCGACGGGGUGGUUUGGCACCUCGAUGUCGGCUCGUCACAUCCUGGGGCUGGAGAAGGUCCCA